GUGAUCUGCCCACCUUGGCCUCCGGAAGUGCUGGGAUUACAGGGGAGACAACAGCUUUUAGACACAUCUUUUCCAACAGUCGUCACUGCUGGACACUGUUUCAUCUUGCAAAUAAACCAAUGAGAAUGAGUGAUCCUAAAAGAAGAUAAAUGGAGGUAUUUUGAACAAUCAAAAAAAGACCAAUGAACACCUGGCUAAGAAAAAUUAGCUUGUUUUUUUCUAUGUAUAAAACUAUUAAAAUGUUCUUCAUAGACAUUUAUGAAAUGAGAAACAUAAAGACAAAAUUAAAAUAACUCCUAGUAUCUCCUAUUCUUUUUAUAUGUAUAGCAUAUAUGUUCAUAUUCAUAUAUAUUUAUAUCUCACAUCAUGUAUCAUAUAUAAAAUAAAUUUAGAUGCAUAUGAUAUAUAUAUUUAGAUAAAUAUACUUAGAAACAUUUUUUAUGGAUGUAUAAUUUAUGGAUACACUGAUAAUUAUGUAUUCGUUAUUGACUAUGUUAAUUGAUUCCCAUUUUAUGCAUUAUAGAUUGUAAAGCUCACACAUCUUUCUACAUAAAUCUUUGUUCAAAUAUUAUUUCCUAAAGAUAGACUUCAUGAAGUGGAAAUACUAAAUCAAAGGUGAAAAACAUUUUCUAAGGUUCUUAACAUGUACAGUGCCAAAUUGCUAUCAGCAUCAUGCCAAUUUAUAAUCCCACCAUAAUAUGGAAAUUCCUGUUUUAUAGCACUCAUAUUUACAAUAGAUUUUUAAAAGCAUUGUUAACCUAAUAGGCCCCCAAAAAGAAAAAAAAUUGAAAUUAUAUUUCUUUAUUUUAAUGACUUUAUUAGUGAGGGUCAUUUUUCCCAUAUUUCUUGUUAGCCAUGACCCUAUUAGAAAUAAACUGUGCUACAAAAUAAUAAACAUGAUAUCAAUCAUUCCAUGGGAAGGCACUAUAUAAAGAAUAAUACCUUAGGUUAAGGCCAAAUAAAUAAUAUUUAUCAGGUGCUUCUUCUGCGGAGGACUCUGAAGGGAUACUAAACUGCACUUAGCUGCAUGCAACUGAAACUACUGUUACCUACAUUGUCUCUUAUAAACAUUAUAACUACUCUUUGAGAAAGUGUUUACUAUGGACUAAAUUGUCUCCCCAUCCCCCCAAAUUCGUAUAUUGAAGCCGUAAGCCCCAAUAUGACUCUAUUCCUAGACAGGACUUAUAAGAGGUAAUUAAGGUUAAAUGAGGUUAUUAGGAUGUGUUCCUAACUGGACAGGAUUGGUGGCCUUAUAAGAAGAGGAAGAUUCUGUACGUGGUCUUCCAAAUUAAAUUAUUUUUUUUAAAAAAGAGAAAGAGAGCUCUGCACACAUACUGAGAAAAGGCUAUGUGAGCUCACUGUGAGAAGGUAGCACUCUACAAGCCAGCAAGAGAGCCCUCACCAGAAUCCAGCCAUGCUAUACUCUGCUCUGAGACUUCCAGCUUCCAGAACUGUGAUAAAAUUUUGUUGUUUAAACCACACAAUCUAUGGUAUUUUGUUCUGGCAGCCCAAGCCAACUAAGACAGCAUCAUUGCUGUCACUUACAGACAAGAAAACUAAGAGUAGGAGAGAUAAAAGUUAAACUUGUCCAAGGUCACAAAGGCCAGAAACAAGUGAGGUGAGAAGUUGACCUUGUUCUCCUCAAUCUCAGGUCAGGACUCCUCAACUCCACAUGUAGAUAGCCACCUCACAGUCAACAGCCAAAUGUCCCCAGAGUCAGCAUUAGACCAAGAUGUCUCACCAGGAGAGAAAUGCCUCAUCUUGAAUAAAUAUAUUCUAACAACUUACCCAUGUAAAACAUUGAACCUCAUGAAAAACAAAAAUGCAAAGUAUGUACAAAACUGUUUACCACUUAACUGACAGUGAUAUAAAGCUUAAUGAUAUCCUUAUAGUCUUGGAGGGGUUUGUAUGUGUUGAAACAGGUGCUCAUGCACUGCUGAUAGACUGUAAAUUGGUCCUAGAGAGAAAAAUAAAUAAACUGGAAGGAGAUAUGCUGUA